rnacentral:rRNA from 1 species
UACGAGUGGUGCAAGCGUUAUUCGGAAUCAUUGGGCGUAAAGGGUGUGUAGGUGGCAUGUUAAGUCUAUUGUUAAAUAUCUCAGCCUAACUGAGAAGGUGCAAUAGAUACUGAUGUGAUAGAGGAUGGAAGAGAGAAGUGGAAUUCUCGGAGUAGCGGUAAAAUGCGUAGAUCUCGAGAGGAACACCGAUGGCGAAGGCAGCUUCUUGGUCCAUUCCUGACGCUGAUACACGAAAGCGUGGGGAGCAAACAGG